rnacentral:rRNA from 1 species
GAUGGACGCUGGCGGCGUGCCUAAUACAUGCAAGUCGAGCGAACGGACGAGAAGCUUGCUUCUCUGAUGUUAGCGGCGGACGGGUGAGUAACACGUGGAUAACCUACCUAUAAGACUGGGAUAACUUCGGGAAACCGGAGCUAAUACCGGAUAAUAUUUUGAACCGCAUGGUCCAAAAGUGAAAGACGGUCUUGCUGUCACUUAUAGAUGGAUCCGCGCUGCAUUAGCUAGUUGGUAAGGUAACGGCUUACCAAGGCAACGAUGCAUAGCCGACCUGAGAGGGUGAUCGGCCACACUGGAACUGAGACACGGUCCAGACUCCUACGGGAGGCAGCAGUAGGGAAUCUUCCGCAAUGGGCGAAAGCCUGACGGAGCAACGCCGCGUGAGUGAUGAAGGUCUUCGGAUCGUAAAACUCUGUUAUUAGGGAAGAACAUAUGUGUAAGUAACUGUGCACAUCUUGACGGUACCUAAUCAGAAAGCCACGGCUAACUACGUG